CAUAGCGACUAUCGUGGCAUAUCAAUAAGCGGAGGAAAAGAAACUAACAAGGAUUCCCUUAGUAACGGCGAGUGAAGCGGGAAGAGCUCAAAUUUGAAAUCUUCAAGGUUUUACCUUGACGAAUUGUAGUUUAAAGAAGUGUUUUCUGUUGAAGUUUUGGUAAAAGUUCUUUGGAAUAGGACAUCAUAGAGGGUGAGAAUCCCGUAUUUGGUACAUUCUUUUCUAGCUGUGUGAUACACUUUCAACGAGUCGGAUUGUCUGGGAAUGCAGUCCAAAAUGGGUGGUAAAUUUCAUCUAAAGCUAAAUAUUGGCGAGAGACCGAUAGCGAACAAGUACCGUCGAGGGAAAGAUGAAAAGAACUUUGAAAAGAGAGUUAAACAGUACGUGAAAUUGUCAAAAGGGAAGCGUUUGACACCAGUAUUGUUUUCUCGAAAAUCAAUUAAAAAGGAUGGGAUUUUGUGUUGUAUUGACCUUUAUAAGCUUUCUUCACUUAUUUCUUAGUCUUUUUUAAUGCACUUUUCGUUUAACAAGUCAACAUCAGUUUCUUUUGUUGUAAAAGAGUCAUUGGAAGGUGGCUUUUUCUUCGGAAAAAGUGUUUAUAGCCUUUGGCUUCUGCAAUCGGAGAGAUUGAGGUCUGCAGCGUAGAUCCUUCGGGGUUAGAUACAUUUGUGCUAAGCUAUAGUUCUUUAUAGACAACUUGUUGACUAUAAUCAAUCCUGUAACUUACUCGCUUAUGCUAUUUUACCUACGCUUAGGAUGUUGACGCGCGUGUGUGCGUG
rnacentral:rRNA from 1 species